GCCCGUAUAGCUCAGUGGUCGAGCGUUAGUCUUAUAAACUGAAGGUCCGUAGUUCGAUUCGCAUGUGGGCA
rnacentral:tRNA from 1 species